GGCUACACAUGCAAGUCGAGGGGUAACAGGGAGUGCUUGCACUUUGCUGACGACCGGCGCACGGGUGCGUAACGCGUAUACAAUCUACCUUUUGCUGAGGGAUAGCCCAGAGAAAUUUGGAUUAACCCCUCAUAGUAUUAUAUAUCGGCAUCGAUUAAUAAUUAAAGGUUACGGCAAGAGAUGAGUAUGCGUUCUAUUAGCUAGAUGGUGUGGUAACGGCACACCAUUGCUACGAUAGAUAGGGGCCCUGAGAGGGGGAUCCCCCACACUGGUACUGAGACACGGACCAGACUCCUACGGGAGGCAGCAGUGAGGAAUAUUGGUCAAUGGACGCAAGUCUGAACCAGCCAUGCCGCGUGCAGGAAGACUGCCCUAUGGGUUGUAAACUGCUUUUAUACAGGAAGAAACAGUCUCUUGCGAGAGGCCUUGACGGUACUGUAAGAAUAAGGAUCGGCUAACUCCGUGCCAGCAGCCGCGGUAAUACGGAGGAUCCAAGCGUUAUCCGGAAUCAUUGGGUUUAAAGGGUCCGUAGGUGGAUAAUUUAGUCAGAGGUGAAAUCCUGCAGCUCAACUGUAGAAUUGCCUUUGAUACUGGUUAUCUUGAGUUAUUAUGAAGUAAUUAGAAUAUGUAGUGUAGCGGUGAAAUGCAUAGAUAUUACAUAGAAUACCAAUUGCGAAGGCAGAUUACUAAUAAUAUACUGACACUGAUGGACGAAAGCGUGGGGAGCGAACAGGAUUAGAUACCCUGGUAGUCCACGCCGUAAACGAUGGUCACUAGCUGUUGGGUUUUCGGACUCAGUGGCUAAGCGAAAGUGAUAAGUGACCCACCUGGGGAGUACGUUCGCAAGAAUGAAACUCAAAGGAAUUGACGGGGGCCCGCACAAGCCGG
rnacentral:rRNA from 1 species